GCUACAGUGAGUUAAGAAAGAGAGGGAAUUAGACAAUUAAAGUGCAAAAAUGAAAUCAUGAGUAAGUGAGUAAAGCUCAUAAAGGCAUGAAACAUGCAUAGCUGCCCCCUAUGGUUAUUGCCAUUAUUAUAGGAUGUGCUACAUGCAAAUAGGGUUUGAUCCUGCAAGGUGCUAAUUGACGUACGCUCCCAUUUAUCUAAAUUGGAGGUGACCUUACAUGCAGGAUUGGGUCCAUAGAGGAGUUCCUUGUUUUUUCUAUUUAAAUGUACAUGGGAAUGUUCCCUUAUGCACAUAUAGAGCUCUUGUUAAUGUUAAUAGAACAUAUACAUGUGCAUGCAAGGAAGACUUCUCCCAUUGCAACUAUAUAUGAUUGGUGUUCACAGGGUCUUGCAGACAAGUAAGAGGACAUAAUCCUUGUCCUGAUGUGUUUGCAAAUGGAGCAUCAGAUUUUUCAUAUUGUUAAGAUCGGUUCCCAUUGAGUUGGAGGCACUCAGCAUCUGCGGUGAGGAGCUUAGUCCCUUGCGAGCACUGUUUUCUGUGACCUGGACUCAUCUUCUACUCUUCCCCAGUACAUUUGUAAUAACUCACAGAAGAUGGGACAAAGGAACCGGAAAAUUCUGCAAAGAUCACCUCAAUGAGUUUCCUGACAAUUGUUCCUAUUACAGGGAAGACUUUUGAGGAGACAGAGCAGGGGGAGACUCACAGCUCCCAACACUGAAAAUUCUGGGGAACUUCUAAGUACAAGGAGAAAUGUCACUGCAUGCAGGGGCUGCUUUGGUCUCUUCUCCACCUUGGCAGAACAGAAUAAUGUUGCCUUUGGCUGACUCUCUGGUGGCUUAGUAGUAGCAGCUGUAGAGUGGAUUCUACAGAUAUUAAUUUGGAUAAUGGAUAAUAAAUACAAAAACUCA